UACCCAGUGAGGAGGAUCUCCCAAUAAUUGAUAGGAAGUGCCGUAUGACACUCUAAACAGCAGCUCCGUCUCAGAAUCCUCUCAUCCGCCGAUAUAUGUUAUCGGCCGAGUUUAUUCUUUGCGGCGCUGUGUGUGAGAUUUGAAACGGGUCUCCUGAGGGUU